rnacentral:misc_RNA from 1 species
GUGCCGCGGCCUGCUGCACGUUGCGGGCGCUCUCCUGCGUCGCCGCGCCCUGUUCUUCCACCGCUGCGGCAAUGGUCGAGGAGAUUUCCGAGAUCAGGGUGAUGGUCUUGCCGAUCUCCUUGAUGGUUGCGACCGAUUCCUGGGUCGCGGUCUGCAUGCCCGCGACCUGGGCGCUGAUCUCGUCGGUGGCCUUGGCGGUCUGCGCGGCGAGGGCCUUCACUUC